UACGUAGGGUGCAAGCGUUGUCCGGAAUUAUUGGGCGUAAAGAGCGUGUAGGCGGCCCCAUUAGUCCGCUGUGAAAGCCCGGGGCUCAACCCCGGGUCGGCCGUGCGAACUGUCGAGCUGGAGCACUGUAGAGGCAGGUGGAAUUCCGGGUGUAGCGGUGGAAUGCGUAGAGAUCCGGAAGAACACCGGUGGCGAAGGCGGCCUGCUGGGCAGUGGCUGACGCUGAGGCGCGACAGCGUGGGGAGCAAACAGG
rnacentral:rRNA from 1 species